rnacentral:rRNA from 1 species
CCUACGGGAGGCAGCAGUGGGGAAUAUUGCACAAUGGGCGCAAGCCUGAUGCAGCCAUGCCGCGUGUGUGAAGAAGGCCUUCGGGUUGUAAAGCACUUUCAGCGGGGAGGAAGGCGUUAAGGUUAAUAACCUUGUCGAUUGACGUUACCCGCAGAAGAAGCACCGGCUAACUCCGUGCCAGCAGCCGCGGUAAUACGGAGGGUGCAAGCGUUAAUCGGAAUUACUGGGCGUAAAGCGCACGCAGGCGGUCUGUCAAGUCGGAUGUGAAAUCCCCGGGCUCAACCUGGGAACUGCAUUCGAAACUGGCAGGCUAGAGUCGUGUAGAGGGGGGUAGAAUUCCAGGUGUAGCGGUGAAAUGCGUAGAGAUCUGGAGGAAUACCGGUGGCGAAGGCGGCCCCCUGGACAAAGACUGACGCUCAGGUGCGAAAGCGUGGGGAGCAAACAGGAUUAGAUACCCGGGUAGUC